rnacentral:rRNA from 1 species
UACGUAGGGGGCAAGCGUUGUCCGGAUUUAUUGGGCGUAAAGAGCGUGUAGGCGGCCAGACAGGUCCGUUGUGAAAACUAGAGGCUUAACCUCUAGACGUCGAUGGAAACCGUCUGGCUAGAGUCCGGAAGAGGAGAAUGGAAUUCCUGGUGUAGCGGUGAAAUGCGUAGAUAUUGGGAGGAACACCAGUGGCGAAGGCGGCUCACUGGACCGGUACUGACGCUGAUGCGCGAAAGCGUGGGGAGCAAACGGG